GAAAAGGCAGGUAAGCCUGGCUCUCACUCUCUGCCUCACCCACUAAGCCUGGAGAGUGGGGAAGGAGGGGUAUGGAGAUUAUAGCAUGCAAGUCCCAGGGAAGGGAACGGAGAAAAUGGACUGAAGUUUCUGAUAAGGUUCAUAGUGAUCUGGAUGGCCUGGGCCUGUCCCAUUCUCUGUCCAGGAAGAGGAAGGGAACACAAGGUGAGAUUU
rnacentral:lncRNA from 1 species